rnacentral:rRNA from 1 species
UGGUUUUCCAGGCAAAUCCGGAAAAUCAAGGCUGAGGCGUGACGACGAGGCACUACGGUGCUGAAGCAACAAAUGCCCUGCUUCCAGGAAAAGCCUCUAAGCAUCAGGUAACAUCAAAUCGUACCCCAAACCGACACAGGUGGUCAGGUAGAGAAUACCAAGGCGCUUGAGAGAACUCGGGUGAAGGAACUAGGCAAAAUGGUGCCGUAACUUCGGGAGAAGGCACGCUGACAUGUAGGUGAAGUGAUUUACUCAUGGAGCUGAAGUCAGUCGAAGAUACCAGCUGGCUGCAACUGUUUAUUAAAAACACAGCACUGUGCAAACACGAAAGUGGACGUAUACGGUGUGACGCCUGCCCGGUGCCGGAAGGUUAAUUGAUGGGGUCAGCGCAAGCGAAGCUCCUGAUCGAAGCCCCGGUAAACGGCGGCCGUAACUAUAACGGUCCUAAGGUAGCGAAAUUCCUUGUCGGGUAAGUUCCGACCUGCACGAAUGGCGUAAUGAUGGCCAGGCUGUCUCCACCCGAGACUCAGUGAAAUUGAACUCGCUGUGAAGAUGCAGUGUACCCGCGGCAAGACGGAAAGACCCCGUGAACCUUUACUAUAGCUUGACACUGAACAUUGAGCCUUGAUGUGUAGGAUAGGUGGGAGGCUUUGAAGUGUGGACGCCAGUCUGCAUGGAGCCGACCUUGAAAUACCACCCUUUAAUGUUUGAUGUUCUAACGUGGACCCGUGAUCCGGGUUGCGGACAGUGUCUGGUGGGUAGUUUGACUGGGGCGGUCUCCUCCUAAAGAGUAACGGAGGAGCACGAAGGUUGGCUAAUCCUGGUCGGACAUCAGGAGGUUAGUGCAAUGGCAUAAGCCAGCUUGACUGCGAGCGUGACGGCGCGAGCAGGUGCGAAAGCAGGUCAUAGUGAUCCGGUGGUUCUGAAUGGAAGGGCCAUCGCUCAACGGAUAAAAGGUACUCCGGGGAUAACAGGCUGAUACCGCCCAAGAGUUCAUAUCGACGGCGGUGUUUGGCACCUCGAUGUCGGCUCAUCACAUCCUGGGGCUGAAGUAGGUCCCAAGGGUAUGGCUGUUCGCCAUUUAAAGUGGUACGCGAGCUGGGUUUAGAACGUCGUGAGACAGUUCGGUCCCUAUCUGCCGUGGGCGCUGGAGAACUGAGGGGGGCUGCUCCUAGUACGAGAGGACCGGAGUGGACGCAUCACUGGUGUUCGGGUUGUCAUGCCAAUGGCACUGCCCGGUAGCUAAAUGCGGAAGAGAUAAGUGCUGAAAGCAUCUAAGCACGAAACUUGCCCCGAGAUGAGUUCUCCCUGAGACUUUAGGUCUCCUGAAGGAACGUUGAAGACGACGACGUUGAUAGGCCGGGUGUGUAAGCGCAGCGAUGCGUUGAGCUAACCGGUACUAAUGAACCGUGAGGCUUAACCUU